UGUUCUAUGGAUAUUGAUAAACAUUUUAUACUUCAACUGUACAUUGUAAUCACCCAAGUUAGCAUACCUUUCCACGUAAAAUAGUUGCAAAUACUGACAUGAUUACUCAUUGAUGUUGAUCAACUAUUCAGGAUCUACUCAUGGCUAGAUAAUUGACCUUCUAGUGACACUUAAUAAUAUAUAGAUUGUUAUCCUGGACUGCAAAUCGAAGUACUCUUGGAACCUAUAUCUAUCAUACUCUUUUUAUCUGACCAUGAAUAUGCAGAAAAUAAUAUAGCAUCAAUAUAUGAAAUCGGCAUCGCUAGAUUGUGACAGAAGGUACUUACGUAUAAACAUAGCUUUUUGAUUUUUUAACAUCUUACACAUUAGUGGUCAAAAGUGUACCUCUUACAUCACGACGGUGUACCAUAACAUACUUUUGCAUCUGGGUUUAGUAUAGUUUCUUAAUGGAAAAAGUUCAUUUUUGGCCAUCCAACUUUUGUCUCGAUUUGAUUUUGGCCAUCGAACUCCAAAACCGGGUAUCUUUGGUCAUCCAACUCUUAAAACCGUUCAUUUUCGACCAUCGUGCGGUUUUGUUACCCGGUUUCGCUGACGUGGACGCCACGUGGCGGUGGGGUCCACUUGUCAGCCACAUCUCUCCUCUCCUCUCUCUUUUCAGUUGCUCAUCCUCCUCGCGAGUCCCAGGCAGCAACGCAGCGGCGCCACCGCACCCCGUGCCGGAGAUGGGGAACAGCCUCGGGGGCAAGUGCAAGGGCGCCAAGGUGAUGCAGCUAGACGGCACCUCCUUCCGCGUCAAGCCCCCCGCCGUCGCGGCCGACGUGCUGCGGGACCACCCGGGCUUCCAGCUGCUCGAGUCGGAGGAGGUCAAGCUCCAUGGCGCCCGCGCGCGCCUGCUGCCGCCCGACGCGCCGCUCCGCCGGGGCCGCCUCUACUUCCUCGUCGCACUCCCACUCUGCGCCCCCGCCGCCGUCGGGGCCAUGCGCCGCGCCUGGUCGGGCAACCUCUGCGUCGGGGCCCGCGAGCGGCUCGAGUCGCUCAUGCUCGCGCGCCGCUCCACCUCCGACCUCUCCUCGCUCCCGGCCCACGCCUCCGCCUCGGCGCACGCCAGCGCCAGGGUCACCUCGGAGCGGUCGCCCGGGAUACUGCGGAGCCCGCAGUUCGCCAAGACGCCCGAGUGGGGCGCCGGCUUCAUGCUGCCGCCGCCGCCAGCCAAGACGCCGCAGCGCAAAAACAGAGCAGAGCUUGAGCCGCUGGUGAAAUUAGCAAGAUAAACUCCACCGUGUGUCGAUUCCUUCCGUAUACAGCUCCGCUAGCACCUAAAGCUUCACCACACCCCCUCAAUUGCACCGCUCAUUGCCGGCAAGGUUGUGUCGCCAUUAUUGUCGUCCGCCAGCCACAGUACGCCAUCUCCACGGUGAGCACCUAUGCGCUGCCUUUUUUCGCUCGAGUUCUUGGUCCUAGACGUCUAAGUAGUUGCUUCGGAAGCUCAUGAGCAAGUCGUUGGCCGGAGUGUCACUGUCGUAAUUCGCCCACGCCGGCCAACCCGCGGCCGUUUCCGCCGUCGCCGAUGCAUGUCCUUCGCGUCCCCGCCGAAGGGGAGGGGGCGUGCUGCGGAGUCCGUCGCGUCCCCACCGGAGGAGAGGCCGCGCAGGGAGGCUGCACCACCGAGGGCGGCUCAGAGGCCGGCGGCUGCCGGUGGUGGAGACAGAAGAAAGAGAGAGGAGAGGGAGAGGAGAGAUGUGGCUGACAAGUGGACCCCACCGCCAUGCGGCGUCCACGUCAGUGAAACCGGGUAACAAAACUGACCGAUGGUCGAAAAUGAUCGGUUUUAAGAGUUGGAUGAUCAAAGAUAUCCGGUUUUGAAGUUUGAUGGCCAAAACCAAACCGAGGCAAGAGUUAUGGUCAAAAAUAGACUUUUUCCUUUCUUAAUUUAUGCUUGAUAAGUCGAGAUGUCAGUUGGCGACUCGUACAAAUAGGCUGAUGUAAACAUUCAGAAUGGCCUUGAAUUUGAUAUUCACAAAAUUAAUAGUCAGUAGCCAGUACUGCUGAGAAUCUCUCUAAAACGAAUUCCCAGCCAAGCUCGGGCACCCGAUAGCGCCACGUCACCCGUUAGCUAGCUAGCCGUUGGAUCCAACCAGCUAUGGAUUUCUACCGUUCGAUACGGAUCGGUUGGGACCUUUCACCCGUUAAACCGCUAACUUGGAUGAUCGCGAAUUCUCGCGAACCCGCUCGAGGGGGGGGACCUCAUCCCCUUGGCAGCUCCGCCUGCUGCGCCGCCCAUUGCCUGACGGCGAAAAUCCGCCCGAGCGAGGACCUCAUCCCCUCUGCUUGCAGCACCACUCUUUGCCCGGCGCUUGCUGUUGCUGUACCGCGGUAGCCGCCUCGCACCCCACCUCUCAGGCCUCCCUUCCCUUCUAUCUUGAAGCUCCAGAAUCCACUUAUUGCGCGAAGCCUCGCAGUUGGCCUCUUCGACGUCGCUACCACCUCCAUGCUCGCAGUCGAGGCCGCCGAGCUGAGCGUAGCUUUCGCGGCGACGCGGUGCCGAGCGCAGAGCAAGAACGGGGCCCACAGGCGGUGUCUUAUCCUCUCCUCAGCUCCUCCUCACAAGCACUGAAAGGAGCAGAGCAGCAUAUAUGACGCUCGUCCUUGCCUGUGGCGCCGCUAUCCGCGCGAAGCAGGAUUUAGGAGAAAAACACAUCGGCAUACUAUGAUUGUUCGUUGCGAGGUGCUGCAACAUAAUUCCAACGGAGCAGUGAAAGGAUUGUGACGCUGGCCACCAUGGCAACCAGCAGCCCGUGAGGUGUUCGAUGUUCUGCUCCAGCCUUUGCUAGACUACGAGUGCCACUGCAGGAAAAAGGACCAUUAGUACCGGGCGCAUGGCGCCCUUAGUACCGGCUGGCCGGUACUAAAUGGACUGUCCAUUUAGUACCGGUCGCAGCGCCCGGUACUAAAUGUACCAUCCUUUAGAAAAAAUACAUCCGGAUAAAUGCGCGUGCAUCGGGGUUCGAACUUGUGACAUGUGGCCUCGCACGUAGUCUCCUUUACCAUUCCAUCCACACAAUCCAUGUGAGUGGAUGGAAGAUGUUAUCCUUUUGAAGUAACCCAGGUGGACCAUUUAGUACCGGGUCAUAACAACACCCGGUACUAAAUGCCACCAUUUAGUACCGGGUGGUAUUAAAAACCGGUACUAAAUAGUUGGGGGGCCCCGGGAGACAUUUAGUACCGGGCUAUAACACCAACCGGUACUAAAUUGUGGCAUUUAGUACCGGGUGGAGAUAUGACCCGGUAAUAAAUGGCUCCGGGGGGCACUGUGUUGUAGAACCGGUACUAAAUUGACAUUAGUACCGGCUUUAAAGCAACCGGUACUAAUCGGAGGUGGACGAAUGCCACUUUUUCUAGUAGUGUGCUCGUUACAUAAUUGCUAGGUUAAGUUCAUUCCAUGUUUCAUUAUUAAGAAAUCAUACUGCAAACCCUCUGAUAUCAGUAGACUAGACUAGAACAUGAAGUCCGAACACAUCUAUUGAUUUAAAGUGAUCCUUACCUUCUAACUUCCUUAUGUAUACUGAUGUUGCAGCUUAUAUAGCACCAACUGGUACUAUAAUUCCUCAAAAACACAGUCCAGUCUUAUUAGAAUAAUCAAUAUUUGAUUGCAGUCAUGAACUAUUAAUAUUCAUUGUAAAUUCUAAUUAUUAUUAAGAAUUGGUAGAAUCAUUUCUUGAUGUGGUCGUAAAAAAAAUCCUGCAACAUGCUAAAAAAAUUGUCAAUAACUAAAGCAUAUUUUAUUUCUCUUAGAUAAGAAUUAAACUAAACAAAGUUCUCUCUAUCCACAAAUAACUUUCCCUAUAAUAAUUCUACCUAGCCAUGCAUUAAGUGAAUAAGAAGUUUAUAUUCUUCUUGCACCGGUCAUAUAUCCAUUAUGUUUUCACGAGGAUACUUUAUGUAUCUAAUUGGACAGAAACAGUUUCUCACAAACCAUUAGGCAGUACAACAAACCCAAGGUAUGUCGAGAGAAGAGGCGUAUGAGGCUAACUUGUUCACAUGCAUUACCAGAAUUCGUCUAAGCUUCUAUCUUCCUGUACAUUCCAAUUCUUUCGUCAUGAUAUAUAUGCUCUAAUUUAUAACAAUUUGUGUAAUGCAGAUGAUUGUUGAGAAGGAUAUGAGAGGAGCUGCCCGAGCAGCUUGCCCAUUCAAUCAUGAAAUUUGCACUUUGUAAGGAUUACAACUAUUCACUCUAUUCCCACUCCAGCAAAGGAAGCUCCAGUUACAGCCGCCCAGUCUCAUGUUUCUCAGAAUCCCAACAGACAUUGAAGCACCCAAAUUCGCACCAACAGGGAAAUAUUCAGCUAAAUCAGCAUACGAGAAAUGUUGCAAACCUGUUGGGAUCGUGGCUUAGAGGUUACUGUCCACAUCUUAAACCUUGGAAGAGGAUCUGGAAGAGCUGGGCACCCGGUUUGCAAGGUUUAGCUCCACAACCUGGUGAUCACUUCUUCAAGGACUGGUGGGAUCGAUCAGGCGAGCACAAGGGUGGCUGACCAAGCUAAAAAGGGCCUGAAUUCAGUUGUAAUCUUGGUAGUUUGGUCUCUCUGGAAUCACAGGAAUCGUUGUGUGUUUGAUGGUCUGCAACCUAGUCUAAGUGGGCUUCUCUCUACCAUUAGGGAUGAACUGCAUCUGUGGCAUUUGGCUGGGGCUCAAGAUUUACUCAUCUCCUCGCCCUGCAGCCCAAUGGUUAGCCUGAUAACCACUGCCAGUUUUCCCUUUGGUUUUGCUAAACAUAGGACUUCAGUUUUGUUUCACAAGCAAAGCAUGCAUUUAUUUU